UACAGAGGGUGCAAGCGUUGCUCGGAAUUAUUGGGCGUAAAGGGUAGGUAGGUGGUCUUAUUUGUCUGGGGUGAAAGCCUUGAGCUUAACUCAAGAAGUGCCCCAGAAACGGUAAGACUAGAGUCUUGGAGAGGGUUGCGGAAUUCCCGGUGUAGCGGUGAAAUGCGUAGAGAUCGGGAGGAACACCGGUGGCGAAGGCGGGUCUCUGGGCCGAUACUGACGCUGAGGAGCGAAAGCGUGGGGAGCAAACAGG
rnacentral:rRNA from 1 species